rnacentral:piRNA from 1 species
UAACAAUGAACCCCCUGAACAAAGGUGCUC